ACAUAUUUAAACAUUCCUAUACGAGGAUGAUCAUAUGCAAGUUAUAAAGGGGGAGCGAUAGACAAUUUACAUAGGUAGUCUUACUACAUAGCCUAUCCAAUGGCAUUCGGCUGCAGAGUGUUUUCCACCUCCCAACUUCUCGUCCUGCCACAUAAAGAGUUGUCAACAAUCAAUAAGAUAGUAAUAGCAAACCCAUAGGAAUAAGAAAUACCUAAAUAAACAUAAACCUUAUACGAGUCCACACUUUACAAAGGAUAAAAUGCCAACAACUGGCAUGUGAACAGUUCAUCCUCAUUUAAAACCACAAUGGUGUAUGCAUAUACUGCAUAAUGACUGGUUAGUUAAAAACUUGUAUGCCAGAGUCGACAAAUUGCUUCAGUGAUGUUAGCUCAUACUAAGAAGACCAGAAAAAAAAAAGCAUAAAGAUGCACUUUUGAGGUCAGAGGGAUUAGUCAUUCUGAACAAAAGUCAUAUAGGUUGAAGAACAGCCAAAUCAACCAGCACGAUAUGUGGAGCUCAUAGAAACUCAAGCAUAACAGAAAAUGUGAAAAAUCUCUAGUAAAAUGGUAUUAUACAACUGAGUUUGGAGUGACCUUGUCUGUGAAAGCUGCCCCCAAUUCAUCAAUUGGCGGGAAUGUGGAUGCCCACCAUCCUCGGUUGCUAAAAGCCCUGAGCAGCUAGAAGUUGUUGGAGGGGACCAAACAGGAACAACGCCACUGUCUCUUUCCCUCCAACUACCAGAUGAUGGCCCUAUGGAAUGUUCAGGCAUCUCCAACCUGGUUGGGUUGAAAUGUUGAGUUACAUUAUCUCUGACGGUAUGCAUGCCAGCCUGAUCAGUGGGUUCUCUUUGAGGCAGCAGACCGUAAG
rnacentral:lncRNA from 1 species